UACGUAGGGUGCAAGCGUUGUCCGGAAUUAUUGGGCGUAAAGAGCCCGUAGGCGGUUUGUCGCGUCGGCUGUGAAAGCCCCGGAGCUCAACUCCGGGUCUGCAGUCGAUACGGGCAGACUUGAGUGUUGCAGGGGAGACUGGAAUUCCUGGUGUAGCGGUGAAAUGCGCAGAUAUCAGGAGGAACACCGGUGGCGAAGGCGGGACUCUGGGCCGAUACUGACGCUGAGGAGCGAAAGCGUGGGGAGCGAACAGG
rnacentral:rRNA from 1 species